AGAGUUUGAUCAUGGCUCAGAUUGAACGCUGGCGGCAGGCCUAACACAUGCAAGUCGAGCGGUAGCACAGAGAGCUUGCUCUCGGGUGACGAGCGGCGGACGGGUGAGUAAUGUCUGGGAAACUGCCUGAUGGAGGGGGAUAACUACUGGAAACGGUAGCUAAUACCGCAUAAUGUCGCAAGACCAAAGUGGGGGACCUUCGGGCCUCAUGCCAUCAGAUGUGCCCAGAUGGGAUUAGCUAGUAGGUGGGGUAACGGCUCACCUAGGCGACGAUCCCUAGCUGGUCUGAGAGGAUGACCAGCCACACUGGAACUGAGACACGGUCCAGACUCCUACGGGAGGCAGCAGUGGGGAAUAUUGCACAAUGGGCGCAAGCCUGAUGCAGCCAUGCCGCGUGUGUGAAGAAGGCCUUCGGGUUGUAAAGCACUUUCAGCGGGGAGGAAGGCGUUAAGGUUAAUAACCUUGGCGAUUGACGUUACCCGCAGAAGAAGCACCGGCUAACUCCGUGCCAGCAGCCGCGGUAAUACGGAGGGUGCAAGCGUUAAUCGGAAUUACUGGGCGUAAAGCGCACGCAGGCGGUCUGUCAAGUCGGAUGUGAAAUCCCCGGGCUCAACCUGGGAACUGCAUUCGAAACUGGCAGGCUAGAGUCUUGUAGAGGGGGGUAGAAUUCCAGGUGUAGCGGUGAAAUGCGUAGAGAUCUGGAGGAAUACCGGUGGCGAAGGCGGCCCCCUGGACAAAGACUGACGCUCAGGUGCGAAAGCGUGGGGAGCAAACAGGAUUAGAUACCCUGGUAGUCCACGCCGUAAACGAUGUCGAUUUGGAGGUUGUGCCCUUGAGGCGUGGCUUCCGGAGCUAACGCGUUAAAUCGACCGCCUGGGGAGUACGGCCGCAAGGUUAAAACUCAAAUGAAUUGACGGGGGCCCGCACAAGCGGU
rnacentral:rRNA from 1 species